GUGGGGAAUCUUGCGCAAUGGGCGAAAGCUUGACGCAGCCAUGCCGCGUGAAUGAUGAAGGUCUUAGGAUUGUAAAAUUCUUUCACCGGGGACGAUAAUGACGGUACCCGGAGAAGAAGCUCCGGCUAACUUCUUGCCAGCAGCCGCGGUAAUACGAAGGGGGCGAGCGUUACUCGGAAUGACUGGGUGUAAAGGGCGCGUAGGCGGAUAGCUUAGUCAGAGGUGAAAGCCCAGGGGUCAACCUUGGAAUUGCCUUUGGUACUGGAUGUCUUGAGUUAGGGAGAGGUGAGUGGAACUCCGAGUGUAGAGGUGAAAUUCGUAGAUAUUCGGAAGAACACCAGUGGCGAAGGCGACUCACUGGCCCAAUACUGACGCUGAGGCGCGAAGGCGUGGGGAGCAAACAGGAUUAGAAACCCGAGUAGUCC
rnacentral:rRNA from 1 species